rnacentral:tRNA from 1 species
GGGCUCUUCCGUGAGUCGAACACGGGACCACUCACAAUCCAGGCGAUUGUAUCCCGAAGCGAGUAUCAUACCACUAGACCAAAGAACU